rnacentral:misc_RNA from 1 species
UAUUAUUAUUAUUAUUAUUUUGAGUGUUUGAGGAACUCUACAGAUUGUUGUUCCAUUGGAAGAGGAGAUGGGAAUGGUAAAUCUAUUUUGUUUAAGAAGACCUAGGAAACAUGAACUGAGAAUAUGAGGUGAAGUCAUUGUGUGCAAAAGAAAAUACUAAUGGUUCUGUAUCAUUGAGUGGUUUGGUCAUAAGUUGAAAGGAAGCAUGGCCAAAGAUUUG